AAGACUAUACUUUCAGGGAUCAUUUCUAUAGUUCUUGACUAGGAAAUGUGUUUCGAAAGAGUAGAGUCUCCCAAACCACGAUGAUGAGCUGUGAUGCUCUUAUCUGAGCGUGAGUCGGGUGUAGAGUAAUGAUUAGUUUCAUAAGCUUUACAUCGUUGAUGAACGUUCCUUAUUGCGUUAUUGCAGUGAGGAGGACAAGAGUAUGUGCAGAGUGGUU
ensembl:snoRNA